rnacentral:tRNA from 1 species
GCCCAGCUAGCUCAGUCGGUAGAGCAUGAGACUCUUAAUCUCAGGGUCGUGGGUUCAUGCCCCACAUUGGGUG